rnacentral:rRNA from 1 species
UAGGGAAUCUUCGGCAAUGGGGGCAACCCUGACCGAGCAACGCCGCGUGAGUGAAGAAGGUUUUCGGAUCGUAAAACUCUGUUGUUAGAGAAGAACGUUAAGUAGAGUGGAAAGUUACUUAAGCGACGGUAUCUAACCAGAAAGGGACGGCUAACUACGUG